ACUCAUGUCGGACACAGACCCACACCGCCACCGCCGGUCGCGCCCAGAUCGCCGCGGCCGUUCACAUAUCCCAUCGCAGAUCAAGACGCCUGCUUCUACCUUGUUGCGGCGGCGCUAGGGCACGUGAGCGGCAAUCGGCGAUGAGGGAGGCAAGUAUUCUUCCAUGUAUUUGAAGGGAUGCGGCCGGUAUCGAGGAAACACGAAGGAACAACUUCCUGCCGGAUCGACUUGGUGGUUGCUUGCGUGCAUGUGUCCAUCAAUGGUACAUCAAUGGUUUUUAUACAGAGAGUUUUGAUGAAGUACGUGACUGGAUCUUGGUGUUUGUUAAAUUUGAGACUGAGCAAAGGUCACUACUUCCUUCUAUGCAAAAAUUGAUGCCCUUCCUCUGUUUUUGUAGCCCGAUUCAAGGUGUUGUUAUAUCAUACAGUAGCAAUGGACUAUUACAGUGUAGUUCCCAUUAGAUUGAUUUAUUUAUUACUAAUUCAUAUGGCUAUCUGACUUUUAA